AAUACUUGGUGUAGCGGCCCCUACAUAAGAAAUGUUUUGGAAACUUGCAUGAGACAACAUAAUCUAUCUCGCGAUGAAGUAAAUCAAGGAAUUCGUUUCGAACUUUUUGCCAGUGAGAAACUUAAGUGCUAUCGUGCCUGCAUUAUGAUGGCUUGCAAAGUGUUAAACAGUGACAAUACCUUAGCGGCUAAUCUACCACAAACAGUUGCCUUUUGGACAACCAGAAGGAAUUCUUCGUUAUAUCCAAUUGUGGAAGAAGCU